CAACAAUUUCAAGAAACAAAGUCCUCUUACCACAUGAUCAACUAGACUUUUUGUAACACCCCUAAAACCACAGUGUCUGGAACUGACCCUUAAAUGCGUUUUUAGAUAAAAAGACUUUCAGCAGCCGAAGUCCCUUCGAAGACUAAGAUAUAAAAAGCCAAUAGAAGAUAGGGAUUCAACCUACCAAUUACAUGUUUUGGGACUACUGAGUUUGGUUGUUUGUUUUGGCAAGUUGGGAUACUGCAGAAUCGAAUUUGAAAUUUUGAAAAUUCUCAGGUUUGACUACUGAAAUCAUUAUUUUGGCAGCCGAAAAGGCUACUGCCUCCUGAGGGCAUUUGAAAUACAAGUCUUCGGCAAUCAAAGUUGCUUCUGCCUGCUUAGCUUUUCUAUUGAGUUUUAUGGUUCUAGAAACCAAUUUUAUGGGCCUAGACAGUAUAGAAUCAAG
rnacentral:misc_RNA from 1 species